AAAUUGAAGAGUUUGAUCAUGGCUCAGAUUGAACGCUGGCGGCAGGCCUAACACAUGCAAGUCGAACGGUAGCACAGAGAGCUUGCUCUCGGGUGACGAGUGGCGGACGGGUGAGUAAUGUCUGGGAAACUGCCUGAUGGAGGGGGAUAACUACUGGAAACGGUGGCUAAUACCGCAUAACGUCGCAAGACCAAAGAGGGGGACCUUCGGGCCUCUUGCCAUCAGAUGUGCCCAGAUGGGAUUAGCUAGUUGGUGAGGUAACGGCUCACCAAGGCGACGAUCCCUAGCUGGUCUGAGAGGAUGACCAGCCACACUGGAACUGAGACACGGUCCAGACUCCUACGGGAGGCAGCAGUGGGGAAUAUUGCACAAUGGGCGCAAGCCUGAUGCAGCCAUGCCGCGUGUAUGAAGAAGGCCUUCGGGUUGUAAAGUACUUUCAGCGGGGAGGAAGGUGUUGUGGUUAAUAACCACAGCAAUUGACGUUACCCGCAGAAGAAGCACCGGCUAACUCCGUGCCAGCAGCCGCGGUAAUACGGAGGGUGCAAGCGUUAAUCGGAAUUACUGGGCGUAAAGCGCACGCAGGCGGUCUGUCAAGUCGGAUGUGAAAUCCCCGGGCUCAACCUGGGAACUGCAUUCGAAACUGGCAGGCUUGAGUCUUGUAGAGGGGGGUAGAAUUCCAGGUGUAGCGGUGAAAUGCGUAGAGAUCUGGAGGAAUACCGGUGGCGAAGGCGGCCCCCUGGACAAAGACUGACGCUCAGGUGCGAAAGCGUGGGGAGCAAACAGGAUUAGAUACCCUGGUAGUCCACGCCGUAAACGAUGUCUACUUGGAGGUUGUGCCCUUGAGGCGUGGCUUCCGGAGCUAACGCGUUAAGUAGACCGCCUGGGGAGUACGGCCGCAAGGUUAAAACUCAAAUGAAUUGACGGGGGCCCGCACAAGCGGUGGAGCAUGUGGUUUAAUUCGAUGCAACGCGAAGAACCUUACCUGGUCUUGACAUCCACAGAACUUUCCAGAGAUGGAUUGGUGCCUUCGGGAACUGUGAGACAGGUGCUGCAUGGCUGUCGUCAGCUCGUGUUGUGAAAUGUUGGGUUAAGUCCCGCAACGAGCGCAACCCUUAUCCUUUGUUGCCAGCGGUUAGGCCGGGAACUCAAAGGAGACUGCCAGUGAUAAACUGGAGGAAGGUGGGGAUGACGUCAAGUCAUCAUGGCCCUUACGACCAGGGCUACACACGUGCUACAAUGGCGCAUACAAAGAGAAGCGACCUCGCGAGAGCAAGCGGACCUCAUAAAGUGCGUCGUAGUCCGGAUUGGAGUCUGCAACUCGACUCCAUGAAGUCGGAAUCGCUAGUAAUCGUGGAUCAGAAUGCCACGGUGAAUACGUUCCCGGGCCUUGUACACACCGCCCGUCACACCAUGGGAGUGGGUUGCAAAAGAAGUAGGUAGCUUAACCUUCGGGAGGGCGCUUACCACUUUGUGAUUCAUGACUGGGGUGAAGUCGUAACAAGGUAACCGUAGGGGAACCUGCGGUUGGAUCACCUCCUUACCUUAAAGAA
rnacentral:rRNA from 1 species